rnacentral:miRNA from 1 species
UUUGUCCAAUGAAAUACUUAUC